AUUCAAAGAACUGCAUUCUUAGUCCUACCUGGGUGAGAACAGCUCUGGCUAUGAUGAACAUGACAUCCUGCUAAGGAUGCAGAGGCUAGCCCUGUACCCUGCCCUGCCUGCUGUGCAUGCUGCUGGACCAUCUGUCAGUGGAGCUCUCAGACCCUAUUCUUGAAGCACUCUAAACACCUGAGGAGACAAUGUUUUGAGCAGACACUUGCUGUAUUUGCGCACAGUACUGCAUGUCUUCUCUCUGUCACUCUGGACAUACAUGGCUCAUGCAACAGAUCAGAAAUUAGGUAAGCAAAGAUAUAAAGUUAUUCUGCUUGUGCAGAAUGGAUAAUGAGAGUAAUGCAAUUAACAGUAUUAAUGUUAAUAACUAGAUAUCUGCUAUUAGCAGUCUCCCACCUUGAUCAUUUAUUAAACAGUGACACCAAAUUUAGACGUCAAAACAGU
rnacentral:lncRNA from 1 species